CCUACGGGAGGCAGCAGUGGGGAAUAUUGCACAAUGGGGGAAACCCUGAUGCAGCGACGCCGCGUGAGUGAAGAAGUAUUUCGGUAUGUAAAGCUCUAUCAGCAGGAACGAGACAAGACGGUACCUGACUAAGAAGCCCCGGCUAACUACGUGCCAGCAGCCGCGGUAAUACGUAGGGGGCAAGCGUUAUCCGGAAUCACUGGGUGUAAAGGGAGCGUAGGUGGCAUAAUAAGUAGCUAGUGAAAUCUGGUGGCUCAACCAUUCAGACUAUUAGCUAAACUGUUAAGCUCGAGACCGUUAGGGGUAACUGGAAUGUCUAGUGUAGGAGUGAAAGCCGUAGAGAUUAGAAGGAACACCAAUAGCGUAGGCAGGUUACUGGGACGGUUCUGACACUAAGGCACGAAAGCGUAGGGAGCAAACGGGAUUAGAUACCCCAGUAGUC
rnacentral:rRNA from 1 species